rnacentral:lncRNA from 1 species
AAAGCAAAUCCGCCGUUCUUCAGAUGCUGUAAUCAGGGCAGACUGGCCUCCUCUGUCCCCAGGAAAAAGAAAUACGACUCAGAAGGACUGUCUGCACUGCGGCUGAUGACACUUAUCCAUUGUCCUGUUAUUUCCCCUCCAGAUAUGUGUCCAUCAUGCUGUUUUCACUAGCUGUAUUCUGUACAACUGUAACAAAGAGAAGAAAGAAAACUCCCAGUCGUGCCAAUUAUCCAUUUGGAAAUAUAAAUUAAGAGAGCCAUCCUGCAGACAGUCACUCCC